AUUGAACGCUGGCGGCAGGCCUAACACAUGCAAGUCGAGCGGAGCGGCUGACGGGUGAGUAAUGCCUAGGAAUCUGCCUGGUAGUGGGGGAUAACGUCCGGCAACGGGCGCUAAUACCGCAUACUAUCAGAUGAGCCUAGGUCGGAUUAGCUAGUUGGUGGGGUAAAGGCCUACCAAGGCGACGAUCCGUAACUGGUCUGAGAGGCUGAGCAGUCACACUGUAACGGAGGCACUGUCCAACCUCCUACGGGCGGAAGCAGUGGGGAAUAUUGGACAAUGGGCGAAAGCCUGAUCGAGCCAUGCCGCGUGUGUGAAGAAGGGCUGCGGAUUAUAGAGCACUUUAAGUUGGUAGGCGUUACCAACAGAAUAAGCACCGGCUAACUUCGUGCCAGCCGCCGCGGUAAUUC
rnacentral:rRNA from 1 species